UCUUUCGACGGUGCCGCGUCCCGUGAGCAUCGUCUCGUCGCGUUCUGGGCGCCGUUCCUGUUGCUGCAUCUUGGUGGCCCGGACAACAUCACCGCCUACUUACUCGAGGACAACAGACUCUGGCUGCGACACCUGCUCACUCUCAGUUUGCAGGUGCUAAGCGCUGUCUACGUCCUCUACAAGCAUUACAUCGGCACCGAGGACAUGUUCCUGCUUGCGGUCAUCUUGAUGUUUGUUGUCGGUGUUCUCAAGUACGGGGAGAGAACAUGGGCGCUCAAGUGCAGCAACAUGGACAGCAUCCGGAGCUCCCUCAAGAAGGAACCACGGGCUAGAUGCCAUUUCUACCUCGACGAUAGACCCCCACAAGGGGGACCCAAGGGAAAUGUCGAAGAAGAAGAAUUCUUCAUGCGGCAUGCACACUCCCUGUUCCACAUAUGCAAGCACGCAAUAGUCGAUUCGUCGAGCGACAGGGAUGAAGACAACCGUGAGAUCAAUGUACUUGAGCAGCUCACAUAUGAAGAUAGGUAUUUGGUGAUGGAGUUGGAGCUUUCUUUGAUGUACGACAUCCUCUACACCAAGGCAGCCGUAGUCCACACUUCAUUUGGCUACUGCGUCUGCAUAGUCUCACCUGCUGCCAUCGCAGCUGCGCUCUUGCUGUUCCAGUUCAGUGGGAAAGAUGGUCACAGCAGAGUGGAUGUUACCAUCACCUACAUCUUACUGGGUGGUGCCUUAGUCCUGGAGAUAAGAUCACUGCUGAGUGCACUUGGGUCGAGUUGGACACUACCCUUCUUGUGCGGUACAAGAUGGCAUUGGCUUCAACAUGCAGUUCUCUGUGCAGGGAGAUGGGAUCGUCUUCAUCGUUGGAUUGUAUCUCUUCACCGGCUCAUAAAGUUCAUGGGACUUGAUAGAUUCUUGAGGUCAGCAAGGAGGUGGUCUGGCACUGUGGGGCAGUAUAACAUGUUGCACUUGUGCAGUCGUCCCAGCAGAAAGAAUAGGCCUCUGCUGGGUAAAUUUGCCAACAUGCUGGGAGCCGAGGAGUGGGCCGUCAAGUUUCCAGAGGACCUGAAGCAGAAGUUCAUGUUGCACAUAGAGGAAUUGGCCCGGGAUGGGACAGUGAGCACACAGGGCGUUGUCAGGGGGAAAUGGGGCGAGGAGGCACUUAGCACUUGUAACCUGUACAAGGAUCUGCAAGACAGACUAGGUGUUGAGUUUCAAGAGGGCAUCAUCAUCUGGCACAUCGCCACGGACCUCUUCCUCCUCCACGAGAGUGGGAAGAAAGCCAAGGCCAUGGCCAUGGAAGGCGAAGCACUCUGUGCUAGUGAGGAGGACAUCAUGUUGCUGUCAAACCACUUGAUGUUCCUUCUGGUGGAACGCCCGGACAUGCUGCCAGGCCUUGCUCAGAGCAGAUUGGACCGGCGAACCUGCGAGAAUCUGGUCGACACAUGGUGUGAAAAAGACGACCAACGCCCUGCUCCGAGCUGCAGCAACUUGCUCCGCUUGUAUGACGACCCUGAUUCCCACUCUAGUCACCGGGAGAGAGAGGAGCUUGCCGAGAUAUAUACAUCGUUUAGCAGUGACUACACUAAAGUUCCUCGUAUCUCUUAUGCAAUCCGUGUUGCAGAAGCCUUGGCUGCUAAUGAUGAGAAUGCGGAGAGCAAGUGCUGCUCGAUGCGAGUUCUCUCCUUGGUGUGGAUGGAUUUUAUGGUGUAUGCUGCUAACAGGUGGAGCAGGGAGUCCCAUGCCAAGAAGCUUAGCAGUGGAGGUGAGCUCAUAACCAUCCUCUGGCUUCUCACUGAGCACCUCCACCGCCUGGUCAAGCCUGACCCGUAA
rnacentral:rRNA from 1 species